rnacentral:rRNA from 1 species
CUCCUACGGGAGGCAGCAGUGGGGAAUAUUGCACAAUGGGGGAAACCCUGAUGCAGCGACGCCGCGUGAAGGAAGAAGUAUCUCGGUAUGUAAACUUCUAUCAGCAGGGAAGAUAAUGACGGUACCUGACUAAGAAGCCCCGGCUAACUACGUGCCAGCAGCCGCGGUAAUACGUAGGGGGCAAGCGUUAUCCGGAUUUACUGGGUGUAAAGGGAGCGUAGACGGCGCAGCAAGUCUGAUGUGAAAGGCAGGGGCUUAACCCCUGGACUGCAUUGGAAACUGCUGUGCUUGAGUGCCGGAGGGGUAAGCGGAAUUCCUAGUGUAGCGGUGAAAUGC